rnacentral:rRNA from 1 species
UACGGGGGGGGCAAGCGUUGUCCGGAUUUAUUGGGUUUAAAGGGUGCGUAGGCGGUCCUAUAAGUCAGUGCUGAAAUAUCCCGGCUUAACCGGGAGGGUGGCAUUGAUACUGCAGGACUUGAGUGAAGUCGAGGUAGGCGGAAUUGACGGUGUAGCGGUGAAAUGCUUAGAUAUCGUCAAGAACACCGAUAGUGAAGACAGCUUACUAGACUUCAACUGACGCUGAGGCACGAAAGUGUGGGGAUCAAACAGG